rnacentral:rRNA from 1 species
UCGACCUGAGUUCAGGCAAGACUACCCGCUGAACUUAA